GUCCAGACUCCUACGGGAGGCAGCAGUGGGGAAUAUUGCACAAUGGGGGAAACCCUGAUGCAGCGACGCCGCGUGAGCGAUGAAGUAUUUCGGUAUGUAAAGCUCUAUCAGCAGGGAAGAAAAUGACGGUACCUGACUAAGAAGCCCCGGCUAACUACGUGCCAGCAGCCGCGGUAAUACGUAGGGGGCAAGCGUUAUCCGGAUUUACUGGGUGUAAAGGGAGCGUAGACGGCAAUGCAAGCCAGAUGUGAAAGCCCGGGGCUCAACCCCGGGACUGCUCUUGGAACUGCGUGGCUGGAGUGCAGGAGGGGCAGGCGGAAUUCCUGGUGUAGCGGUGAAAUGCGUAGAUAUCAGGAGGAACACCGGUGGCGAAGGCGGCCUGCUGGACUGCAACUGACGUUGAGGCCCGAAAGCGUGGGGAGCAAACAGGAUUAGAUACCCUCGUACC
rnacentral:rRNA from 1 species